CACGGCUCAGCUGCUGGAGAGCGAGGCGGCCGCGUUCCCACGGUGUAACGGUCAGCACUCUGGACUCUGAACCCAGCGAUCCGAGUUCGAGUCUCGGUGGGACCUUUCCCUUUAGGCCGCACGCAGGGUCUUUUACCAGCGCAGCCGGAUCUCAGUCUCCUGAAAGCGACCUGCGCCUCAGGUGCGCGCUGAGUGGGCCUACUCUCCCGCCCCAGCGCCCAGCUCGUCCUGCUCUGGGGACCAGAAGGUCUGGGUCCCGCGAAGGAGGCCCUGGGCCCCCGUGCUCUGCCGCCUCCCGCUCAGCAGCCGAGGUCCGAAACCUGCUGCUCUGAGCAGCGCAGGGCCCUGGACCGCGGGGAGGUGGGGGACGAGCCCGCGGCAGCCCCGCAGGACCCUGCGGCUCUGCGGGUCAAUGGUCAUCGGAGGCCCGGCCCCGCCGCCAAAGGGCGCAGCGACCGAAGCUCUGCCACCCCCUGUCGGGUCACCCUGGGUCUCGAGAAUUUCUCGCUCCUAAGCCUCCUUUGGACACGGAAAACCGCUGUUAGGCUAAGACUUGAACCUUGACUCCAGGAAAUCUUGUCCUUUCAUCCCAAACUCAGCCAGAAAGAGGAGUCUGGGCGGUGUAUUCCAGCUUCUGAGAUCAGGGGUCGGUCACCCACGCCUUUGAGGCGCUUGCAGAUCUUAUAGUCAGGGCCAGAAUAGUGAAUAUAUUCUAUGUAGUUAGAUUAGAGUUGGAAACAGCAUUCACCUUUUUAUCAUUAUAAAAUUGACUUUUUAAAUGUCACUUCUAGACAUUGGAAGAACGAUGUAACUUUGUGGAACAACCACAUAGAUGAAAACUAUAAAACAGUAUAAUUUAUAUGUACCCUGAACAGUGAC
rnacentral:tRNA from 1 species